CAAUAGCGUAUAUUAACGUUGUUGCAGUUAAAAAGCUCGUAGUUGGAUUCCUGGAGGGAGCGUCGGCCCGUAUUUACGAGUGCGUGACGUCUCUGUCCAUCCUUGCGGGAAGGCACGGCAUUGAUUUGUUGUGUCGGAUCGCAUCAUUUACUGUGAAAAAAUUAGAGUGUUCAAAGCAGGCUUUCGCUUGAAUACAUUAGCAUGGAAUAAUAAGAUAGGGCUUUGGUGCUAUUUUGUUGGUUGAGCCUAAAGUAAUGAUUAAUAGGGAUAGUUGGGGGCACCUGUAUUGCGUUGUCAGAGGUGAAAUUCUUGGAUUUACGCAAGACAAACAGCUGCGAAAGCGUCUGCCAAGGAUGUUUUCAUUAA
rnacentral:rRNA from 1 species